AGGGGGACCUUCGGGCCUCUUGCCAUCAGAUGUGCCCAGAUGGGAUUAGCUGGUUGGUGAGGUAACGGCUCACCAAGGCGACGAUCCCUAGCUGGUCUGAGAGGAUGACCAGCCACACUGGAACUGAGACACGGUCCAGACUCCUACGGGAGGCAGCAGUGGGGAAUAUUGCACAAUGGGCGCAAGCCUGAUGCAGCCAUGCCGCGUGUAUGAAGAAGGCCUUCGGGUUGUAAAGUACUUUCAGCGGGGAGGAAGGUGUUGUGGUUAAUAACCGCAGCAAUUGACGUUACCCGCAGAAGAAGCACCGGCUAACUCCGUGCCAGCAGCCGCGGUAAUACGGAGGGUGCAAGCGUUAAUCGGAAUUACUGGGCGUAAAGCGCACGCAGGCGGUCUGUCAAGUCGGAUGUGAAAUCCCCGGGCUCAACCUGGGAACUGCAUUCGAAACUGGCAGGCUUGAGUCUUGUAGAGGGGGGUAGAAUUCCAGGUGUAGCGGUGAAAUGCGUAGAGAUCUGGAGGAAUACCGGUGGCGAAGGCGGCCCCCUGGACAAAGACUGACGCUCAGGUGCGAAAGCGUGGGGAGCAAACAGGAUUAGAUACCCUGGUAGUCCACGCCGUAAACGAUGUCUACUUGGAGGUUGUGCCCUUGAGGCGUGGCUUCCGGAGCUAACGCGUUAAGUAGACCGCCUGGGGAGUACGGCCGCAAGGUUAAAACUCAAAUGAAUUGACGGGGGCCCGCACAAGCGGUGGAGCAUGUGGUUUAAUUCGAUGCAACGCGAAGAACCUUACCUGGUCUUGACAUCCACGGAAGUUUUCAGAGAUGAGAAUGUGCCUUCGGGAACCGUGAGACAGGUGCUGCAUGGCUGUCGUCAGCUCGUGUUGUGAAAUGUUGGGUUAAGUCCCGCAACGAGCGCAACCC
rnacentral:rRNA from 1 species